rnacentral:rRNA from 1 species
GACGAACGCUGGCGGCGUGCUUAACACAUGCAAGUCGAACGGAAAGGCCCUGCUUUUGUGGGGUGCUCGAGUGGCGAACGGGUGAGUAACACGUGAGUAACCUGCCCUUGACUUUGGGAUAACUUCAGGAAACUGGGGCUAAUACCGGAUAGGAGCUCCUGCUGCAUGGUGGGGGUUGGAAAGUUUCGGCGGUUGGGGAUGGACUCGCGGCUUAUCAGCUUGUUGGUGGGGUAGUGGCUUACCAAGGCUUUGACGGGUAGCAGGCCUGAGAGGGUGACCGGCCACAUUGGGACUGAGAUACGGCCCAGACUCCUACGGGAGGCAGGAGUGGGGAAUAUUGCACAAUGGGCGGAAGCCUGAUGCAGCACCGCCGCGUGCGGGAUGACGGCCUUCGGGUUGUAAACCGCUUUCGCCUGUGACGAAGCGUGAGUGACGGUAAUGGGUAAAGAAGCACCGGCUAACUACGUG